UACAGGGGGGGCAAGCGUUGUUCGGAAUUACUGGGCGUAAAGGGCUCGUAGGUGGCCAACUAAGUCGGACGUGAAAUCCCUCAGCUUAACUGGGGAACUGCAUCCGAUACUGGGUGGCUUGAGUUUGGGAGAGGGAUGCGGAAUUCCAGGUGUAGCGGUGAAAUGCGUAGAUAUCUGGAGGAACACCGGUGGCGAAGGCGGUUCUCUGGGCCUUACCUGACACUGAGGAGCGAAAGCGUGGGGAGCGAACAGG
rnacentral:rRNA from 1 species